ACUACAAAUGUAACUGAUUAUUAAUUUUGGAACUGAUUUUUCUUUUAAAAACAGCAAGAAAACAACAAAAAGAAAAAUCAUUUUUCUUAUUCACAUCCAAAACAGACAUUUAGUUUUGUGAACACAAUACUCUUGUUUCCAAGAGAGAUGAAGUGGACUUGGGGCAAUUCAUAGUCGUAGCAAAUUCAACACUUCUGCUGUAAAUAAAAGACUCAGGAUCCUCCGACCAUGUGAGUUGAGAUAGAGAAGCGUUUGUGGAGUUCAGUCAAGUUUCACCUGGAUCAAGAUGGAUAUAUGUAGGAAAUAAUGCAAGAUUUGAAGUCAAAGAGAUUGACACUUGCAAAGUUGACUUGCGUGGUGGCCGAUCUUUGAUGUUGCAUGACGUCUUAUAUGCUCCAGAGAUUCGACGAAACUUAGUACCUAUAUCUGUUCUUUUAGAUGUUGUUUUUGAUUUGUUUUUUAGUCGUAAUGGUGUUCGAAUAACUCUAGAUAAUGUCUUUUAUGGUUUUGAAUUUCGUUAUGAUCGAUUUAUCAAUUUAAAUUGUAAUGCUUCAACUUAUGACUAUUAUGUUGACCGUUGUGUAAUGACAUGUUAUUCUAGUAACAAUGAUAUUGAUUUUAUUA